rnacentral:rRNA from 1 species
GAGUUUGAUCCUGGCUCAGAACGAACGCUGGCGGCAGGCCUAACACAUGCAAGUCGCACGCUCCUUCUUCGGAAGGGAGUGGCGCACGGGUGAGUAACGCGUGGGAACGUGCCCUGGGGCUGGGGAUAACGGCGGGAAACUGCCGCUAAUACCCGCUACGCCUUGAGAGGGAAAGGAGCAAUCCGCCCUGGGAGCGGCCCGCGUUGGAUUAGCUAGUUGGUGGGGUAACGGCCUACCAAGGCAACGAUCCAUAGCUGGUCUGAGAGGAUGAUCAGCCACACUGGGACUGAGACACGGCCCAGACUCCUACGGGAGGCAGCAGUGGGGAAUAUUGGACAAUGGGCGCAAGCCUGAUCCAGCCAUGCCGCGUGAGUGAAGAAGGCCUUAGGGUUGUAAAGCUCUUUCGCACGCGACGAUGAUGACGGUAGCGUGAGAAGAAGCCCCGGCUAACUUCGUGCCAGCAGCCGCGGUAAUACGAAGGGGGCAAGCGUUGUUCGGAAUUACUGGGCGUAAAGGGCGCGUAGGCGGAUCUGUGCGUCAGAGGUGAAAGCCCUGGGCUCAACCCGGGAAUGGCCUUUGAAACGGCGGGUCUUGAGUGAGGGAGAGGAGUGCGGAAUACCCAGUGUAGAGGUGAAAUUCGUAGAUAUUGGGUAGAACACCGGUGGCGAAGGCGGCACUCUGGCCCUUAACUGACGCUGAGGCGCGAAAGCGUGGGGAGCAAACAGGAUUAGAUACCCUGGUAGUCCACGCUGUAAACGAUGUGUGCUAGCCGUUGGUGGGCUUAAGCCCGUCGGUGGCGCAGCUAACGGCGAUAAGCACACCGCCUG